AUAUGAUUUCGAUCGUGUUGCUUCUUCCGAAAAGAACGUUUUAGGAUUCUCGGUUUGGAUUCCAAGCUUGAAAAGAAUCUUUUCAUCCCCUUCAGAGAGAUCAAGGUUGAAUGAACAGUCGCAAAAGAUGAUGAAACGUUGGUUUCUUAUGUUGGUUUUAGGAUCCAAUACGACAAUGCUCUUGUGUGCUCUGGUUUUUCUCUUAUGUAAAGGUUUCGUGUCAGUAUGCUUCUUAUGUGGUGGAACAUGUAGAUGCAAUGCAAUUUGUGGUCAAUGCUUACAUUGCAGCUAUCUGAUUUUUGAAGUUGCAAUCCGAAAAAAGUUGUCGCUGUUAUGGUUACAAUGGGAAUAUAACUAUCCAAUCCUGAUAUGGACCAUUGAAUUGCAGGAAACCCAGGUAGAGAUCGCUGUAUAAACUUAAUGGAAAUUUCAUUUAUUUUUCCUUGCCUGUCUUCACAAUUGCUAAUGAGAUGAGUUGCUUGCAGGAUUAAUUGUUUCUUGAUAGGGACAGAUGCAGAUAUUUCAAUAAUACAGAAGAUUCUUCAGUUCUUCUCCGUGUAAAAGAAGACCACGACGGGGCAGAACCAUCGGGGAACUCUGUCUCCGCAAUAAAUCUUAUGAGGAAGUCUUCCGUGGUCUCUGGAAGUAAUGCAGAUCAU